rnacentral:rRNA from 1 species
AUUGAACGCUGGCGGAAUGCUUUACACAUGCAAGUCGAACGGCAGCACGGGUGCUUGCACCUGGUGGCGAGUGGCGAACGGGUGAGUAAUAUAUCGGAACGUAUCCAAUAAUGGGGGAUAACUAGCCGAAAGGUUAGCUAAUACCGCAUACGCCCUGAGGGGGAAAGCUGGGGAUCGUAAGACCUAGCGUUGGUGGCGCGGCCGAUAUCUGAUUAGCUAGUUGGUGGGGUAAGAGCCUACCAAGGCGACGAUCAGUAGCUGGUCUGAGAGGACGACCAGCCACACUGGAACUGAGACACGGUCCAGACUCCUACGGGAGGCAGCAGUGGGGAAUUUUGGACAAUGGGGGCAACCCUGAUCCAGCCAUUCCGCGUGAGUGAAGAAGGCCUUCGGGUUGUAAAGCUCUUUCGCAAGGGAAGAAAACUCGAUCUCUAAUAUAGGUUGAGGCUGACGGUACCUUGAUAAGAAGCACCGGCUAACUACGUGCCAGCAGCCGCCGUAA